UACGUAGGGGGCAAGCGUUGUCCGGAAUUAUUGGGCGUAAAGAGCGUGUAGGCGGUCCGGUAAGUCAGCUGUGAAAGUCAAGGGCUCAACCCUUGAAUGCCGGUUGAUACUGUCGGGCUAGAGUCCGGAAGAGGCGAGUGGAAUUCCACGUGUAGCAGUGAAAUGCGUAGAUAUGUGGAGGAACACCGAUGGCGAAGGCAGCCCCCUGGGCCAGCCACGUGACGCCUCGAUGCACGAAAGCGUGGGGAGAAACAGG
rnacentral:rRNA from 1 species